rnacentral:lncRNA from 1 species
GCUUCCAGUGUUAAGCUAAACCACUUGUAAGAGCAGUGUUAUCUCCCCAUCAGAAGCAGCUUGGGCAGACAUACAACAAAUCAAAUUUUCAAACAAAUGUCAAAGCCUGUGUUUGAAUGGCAGAGGCUGUGUAAGGCCGGUGGAGAUCUAUUAUUUCAUCUGUAUCUCUAACACAGAAAGCACACUGAAAAUAAGCAGAAGAGCUAAACUUCUGGAUUCUGGUUCUUGAAGUAUGUAUUUGAGGUUACUCCAUUUAAAUUUCUUUCAGCUGAGACGUUCAUGCACAGCAGAGGAGCAAUUUCUUCUAUGUCCCACUCAACACCAGUAAGAUCACCUGAUAAAGAAAGGUAUCUGAAGCCCAGUUCUCCCACAGAAACAUCUAAGAUUCUGUGUACUGCCUGGCCUGAGAUCCCUGCUAGCCAAGCCUCAGACUAAUGUUAAUGUGAACGUGACACACAGUGAAGACAUCCAGCCUAUUGCAUGUAUUCCAAAUUAACCUGUGGACUCCCUGUUAAUUCUGUUGGAUGUAUCUGGAGGUACAGCUCUGCUCUGGGGAUGCCUGCCAUGACCACUGAUCACAGAAGGAGCCUGAUCCUCUUUCAGAGGAGAUGUCCAACUGUUUCAUCCACAUAGGCUAGUGGAAAUUGAAAUUUGUAUUAGCAGUGGAGUUAAUGGGCACCCCUUAAAAUAAAAUAUGCAACGAGCGUGUGGGUUUCCUGUGC